UGGCGGACGGGUGAGUAACGCGUGGGUAACCUGCCUUACACAGGGGGAUAACACCUGGAAAUAGGUGCUAAAACCGCAUAAGCGCACAGCUUCGCAUGAAGCGGUGUGAAAAACUCCGGUGGUGUAAGAUGGACCCGCGUCUGAUUAGCUUGUUGGCGGGGUAACGGCCCACCAAGGCGACGAUCAGUAGCCGGCCUGAGAGGGCGGACGGCCACAUUGGGACUGAGACACGGCCCAGACUCCUACGGAAGGCAGCAG
rnacentral:rRNA from 1 species